rnacentral:rRNA from 1 species
AUGGCCACUGGGCUGGAGGCUAGUGGACAGAGGUUCCUCUGGGUUGUGCGGAGCCCGCCAAGCGAUGACACGACGACAGAGCCGGACUUGGAUGUGCUGCUUCCAAAAGGUUUCCUAGAACGAACCAAUGGCAAGGGCCUUGUCGUGAAGUCUUGGGCUCCACAAGGUGACGUGCUAGCACAUCAAGCCGUGGGUUGUUUCGUGACACACUAUGGGUGGAACUCGGUGCUCGAGUCUAUUAUGGUUGGCGUGCCUAUGGUGGCGUGGCCGUUAUACGCGGAGCAGAGGAUGAACGCUGUAUUUCUCGAGGAAGAGAUGGAGUUGGCCGUCCCGAUGAAAGGGUAUGACAAGGAGGUGGUGGAGGCUAAGGAGGUUGCCAAGAAGGUCAAGUGGAUGAUGGAUUCAAAAGGCGGGAAGGUGCUCCGAGAUCGGACUCUAGCGGUGAUGCGGCAGGCGAAAGAAGCUCUCCUCGAGGAUGGAGAAUCAGUGGCGACAUUGACGGGGCUUGUGGAUGCGUGGAUUCAUGCUUGA